ACGAAGGGGGCUAGCGUUGUUCGGAAUUACUGGGCGUAAAGGGCGCGUAGGCGGUGUGUCAAGUCAGGCGUGAAAGCCCCGGGCUCAACCUGGGAAUGGCAUUUGAUACUCUGAGGCUGGAGUACGGGAGAGGAGAGUGGAAUUCCCAGUGUAGAGGUGAAAUUCGUAGAUAUUGGGAAGAACACCGGUGGCGAAGGCGGCUCUCUGGACCGUAACUGACGCUGAGGCGCGAAAGCGUGGGGAGCAAACAGGA
rnacentral:rRNA from 1 species